UACUAUAUCUAAAAUUGUAAGUGUAGACGAGAUUUCGUGGCGAGUUCGGUGCGGAUUUUCUUACUCGCGGUAGUGGUGUUUGAUUGGUGCUGCGACUGGACAGCAAAAACGACGUCGUGCCAUGGGUUUUGUGGUAAAAAAACGAUAUUUUGAUGUUUUGUUUCGAAGCCUAUAUUGUCCUUUUCCGUAGACAGUGCAUCGACGUGGUUGGAGAAGAUUUCGCCAACACAUGAUGCAGAGCAGAAUUUCAGAGUACGAAAAAUGCCAGGCAGGUUCAUGUAUUUCCUGUUCGUCGUUGUAGGUUCAUGUAUUUGCAGUAGACUCAUAUAACCCAGAUCUCUUCCCUUUGUCUUCAACCACUCGAUCCUCUCUCUUCUCUCUCACUCUCCGCUCUUGCGAUCACGGCCAGAUCUAACAUGACACGAACCGCGAGGUGACAUUUUCCUUCGUUGGAGAGUGGAGUGGCAGAGCUGGCUGGAGUCGCUGGAAGCCGGAAUGGGAAAGUCCUGGGUUGGUGGCCUUCAACACGCCAGGGUAACUCGCAACGUAAACGGAAAUCGACCAUGGACCUCCAAAGUCAAAUCCAAUGUGCAAUUUUCUCCUAUGUUUAUCAGCGUGCUUGGACUCCCAUACUAGAUUUAUUCUCAAGACAGGGCAUCAAAAUUUUCCAUUUCGGCUAAAAUUCAAUGCUAAAGGCAUUUUGGAUUGCUAUGAGAAACAAUCUCCUCAGGGAAGAGGCGUGAUAUUGAAUUCAAAAUCAUUGAAGGAGAUUUUCAAGAACAGAAGCACUGCCUUUGCGCAGCAUGAUUUAAACAAAGACUGCACCUUACUGAUUUUGGUUUCGCCUGUCUAAGGAAAAAACAUCCGACAACAUACUGUUUUGAUGUAAAACCUAUAAAGCAUUGAGAAGUUAAAAUCCAAGAAAACUCGAAUCGAGACUGAGAAGCUCUUAACCCCAGCUGUGGCAGAGGCACCCAAAAAAAAUGAAAAUAGGCCACGGUUUAGGCCUUUGUCUUACUCUCGCUAUGAUAGUGACGUGUAGUGAACUGUUGAGGUAGCUAUGUCGGAGCUCAUACUUUUUUGUUUAGCCUUUCUACUCAAAAGUAGGAAUGUCCUGUAGGUGGUUGUAUAACUUUUGUAACACAAAUACCAUUGAACUUGCAUGGUGAAGUGCAAGAAUGAUAUGCUCUCAUUUGGCUUCCAAAAAGCGUGAAAAAUGAUGAAAUUAUUGAUGUCCCGCUGCAACGCGCGGGCACCAUAAC